rnacentral:rRNA from 1 species
ACAGUCACACAUUAGAUACCCCCGUAGUCCUGGCCGUAAACGAUGUGGACUUGGUGUUGGGAUGGCCUCGAGCUGCCCCAGUGCCGAAGGGAAGCUGUUAAGUCCACCGCCUGGGAAGUACGGUCGCAGGACUGAAACUUAAAGGAAUUGGCGGGGAGCACCACAACGCGUGGAGCCUGCGGUUUAAUUGGAUUCAACGCCGGACAUCUCACCAGGGGCGACAGCAGGAUGAUGGCCAGAUUGACGAUCUUGCUUGACAAGCUG